UACGAAGGGGGCUAGCGUUGCUCGGAAUCACUGGGCGUAAAGGGUGCGUAGGCGGGUUUUAAGUCAGGAGUGAAAUCCUGGAGCUCAACUCCAGAACUGCCUUUGAUACUGAAGAUCUUGAGUCCGGGGAGAGGUGAGUGGAACUGCGAGUGUAGAGGUGAAAUUCGUAGAUAUUCGCAAGAACACCAGUGGCGAAGGCGGCUCACUGGCCCGGUACUGACGCUGAGGCGCGAAAGCUAGGGGAGCAAACGGGG
rnacentral:rRNA from 1 species